rnacentral:rRNA from 1 species
GACGAACGCUGGCGGCGUGCUUAACACAUGCAAGUCGAACGGAAAGGCCCUGCUUGCAGGGUACUCGAGUGGCGAACGGGUGAGUAACACGUGGGUGAUCUGCCCUGCACUUCGGGAUAAGCCUGGGAAACUGGGUCUAAUACCGGAUAGGAGCCAUUUUUAGUGUGAUGGUUGGAAAGUUUUUUCGGUGUAGGAUGAGCUCGCGGCCUAUCAGCUUGUUGGUGGGGUAAUGGCCUACCAAGGCGGCGACGGGUAGCCGGCCUGAGAGGGUGGACGGCCACAGUGGGACUAAGAUACGGCCCAGACUCCUACGGGAGGCAGCAGUGGGGAAUAUUGCACAAUGGGCGCAAGCCUGAUGCAGCGACGCCGCGUGGGGGAUGACGGCCUUCGGGUUGUAAACUCCUUUCGCUAGGGACGAAGCUUUUUGUGACGGUACCUAGAUAAGAAGCACCGGCUAACUACGUG